rnacentral:rRNA from 1 species
UAAAUUUUAUUUUUAUAAAUAUUGGUAUUGCAUAUCAUUAAAGGAAAAUUUCAUAUUAAUGAAUAAUAGAAAUGAAAGGUAGAAAGAUAUUUAGUUUUAUUGUUUCAUAUUAAAAAUUAAUAUCUUUAGAGUUGAUAUGUCGACUUUCAUGAUAACUGUAUAAUAAAUUUAUAUUAGAAAAUUAUAUAUUAAUUAUAAAAAUUUUGGAAAUAAAAAAUUUGAAGUGUUUAAAAUUUAAGUUUUACAACUUUUUCUAAUUUAAGUUAAGUUAUAUAGAAUAAAUAUUAAAAUUUUAAUAUUUAAAAAAUCUUUAAAUAAGUAGGUUUAAAAAUUCAAUAAAUUAAUAAAAUAUAAUAGAAUAACUUGAAAUCUCAAUCAAAUGUUUUUUAAAGACUUAGGCUUUUAUAUAAAGCUGGCUUCUGCCCUAUGAUAAUUUAAAUGGCAGUCUUAGCGUGAGGACAUUAAGGUAGCAAAAUAAUUUGUGCUUUUAUUGAGUUCCAGUAUGAAUGAAGUUAUUGGUUGGUUAUAUUUAUAUUUUAUAUCUGAAUUUAAUAUUUAUUUAAGAAAAAAUAAAUAUAUUUAUACAAAGAUAAGUCUUCGGAAAUUCUGUUAUUAAUAAUUCUUUUGUUUUAUUAAUAAAUUUUCUAGGGCAGAAUAUUAUAUAAUUUUAUUUCACUAUUAAUAAUUUAAAGAAUUACUCCGGAGUUAACAGAAAAUCAUACCUAAUCUAGUUCUUAUAGUAAGGUAAGUUUUACAUCGAUGUUGUAUUUAGGUAAUCUAAGGAAGGAGAAGACUUAGUUUUUUAGACUGUUCUUCUAUUAAAUAACCUAACGUGAUAUUAGUUUAAUUCAUCGCGAGAUAGAAUUGUUUAUCUUGAUAAAUAUUUACAAUAAAUGUAUUUAGUACGAAAGGAACAUUAUAAAAGUUUUAAACUUUAAAAAAGAAUUAUCUUUA